rnacentral:rRNA from 1 species
UACGUAGGGUGCAAGCGUUGUCCGGAAUUAUUGGGCGUAAAGAGCUCGUAGGCGGUUUGUUGCGUCGGCUGUGAAAUCCCGAGGCUCAACCUCGGGUCUGCAGUCGAUACGAGCAAACUAGAGUGUUGCAGGGGAGACUGGAAUUCCUGGUGUAGCGGUGAAAUGCGCAGAUAUCAGGAGGAACACCGGUGGCGAAGGCGGGUCUCUGGGCAACAACUGACGCUGGAGGAGCGAAAGCGUGGGGAGCAAACAGG